CUUCUCUCUGUGUUGGCUGCCACAGCCUAAUGCAGUUUUCAUGCCUUCAUGUCUUUUCCCCACUCUUUCUUCAGCCUUUUCAUUUUUGUCCUACUUUUAAAGAAAGCACAUCCCACCAGUCAAGACUACGAGCACUUACAGGGGUAUCUGAGGUCGCUCGCACGCGUGCAAUUAAAGCCUGUGUAAGUUUGGCUACGACAAAUUAUUCACAACACUAACCGUGGUCAAUAACGGCAGACUAAAAACUUUGUCUGUGAAGGGCUCUUAGGGCUGGAUUUAUUCCUUUUUGCCUACUUGAGGACACGGAUGAGACUCCUUGGCACAGACUCAUAAGUCUCAAAGAAAUCCUAAGACUGCACAUUGUUGGCGAGGCAGGAUAAGCAAACGAUGGCAUAGAACACUGCAGAAGCUACCACAGUGUCAUAAGGAGUGCAUAGUGACCCACACACCCUGAAGGAACAGACUGUCCUGGAGUGGUGAAGACACACAUCCCACCACUGCAGAGUCAUCCGAGCCCUUCUGCAGAUGGCUGCGGUUGGAGUCGAGCCUGAAGUCUGAGCCAAAACGGCAACAGAAACGGACACCAACUCCUCUCAUAUACCUGGAAGAUGUCAUCUGGGUGGUCGUGAGCCGCUGCGAGGAAGAGUUCAUGUCGACACACCACCCCUUCUGCCAGGAAGUAUUUUAGAAUCAUGCGGGAGUAGCUAUCGUAACGGUCCUCCUCUGGUGAAAAGAAAUAAGAUUUGGCAACAA